rnacentral:lncRNA from 1 species
AUUCAGGAAAGGCUCUGAAUAUAUAACUAAUAAUAAUAAACAUUUUUUUAUGUAACUGGUGAGGUAUCAGUUACAACUAUACAAAAAUGUCAGAAAGAGGUAUUCUGAUUAAAUUCACUUGAAGUUAGGAUUUUCUCUUAGGUAAUUUAUUUUCUUAGUAAGAUAGCAGGACUCAGCCUUUUUAUGUAUUUUUCUGACACACCAACAUAUUAUCUCUUGAGUGUAGAGAUAAGUUAAUAAAUAUCUCUUGAGUUUAGAGAUAAGUUAAUGAAUAUCUC